AGUGAAAGAGUGUGAAAAAGAGGAAGAACAGAGACAGUGCAGUGCAUUUCGUACUAAACACUUGUACAUCAAACAAAAUCUGCUGUCUUUUCUCCUUCUUUUUUUUUUUUUUUUUUUUUUUUUG
rnacentral:ribozyme from 1 species